UGGGCAGAGCCCUCCUGUUCCUACAGGUCUCCACCCUCAGUGUGGUGGGAAAGAGAGGGGCUGAGGGAAGCAUCUGAUGGAAAUGAAUUCCAAGCAAUGACACACUGAGGAAGACACUGCAUUGAAUGGGAGGCCAACAGGGUACCUGGUGCCCUUUUAGCACCCAUCUGCAGCACUCCACUCACUUCUCUGCUUUUCCUCAUGAAGAAUCUGCUGCACAACGACCAAGUUAAGAGCAGAAGAGCCAGCCCUUGGUCACAUUGGAACAAAGGAAGAUUAGCACUGGGCAUUACUGAAAAGAUGGAGAAAGCCAAAGGUACAGAGAAGGCAAGAAGCCAAAGAACUCGCAGUGCUGUAGCUCUGCCCAGCAGCUGUAGUUUGGAAGUCAGCUCCAGGCUUCUAUUUUGGACUGAAAUUCUCAAGUUUCGCAACUUGAUAUGUUGAUGCUAAGAGGCUGAAAUCCUUCCUCUGCAGUUUGCCUCUGUGUGAGACACUGGUAACAAGUCAAAUUCUCUGGGAUGCUCAGUAUCCAGACAGGCACCACACACAUUUCUUCUUCUGACCCACAAUGCUAUCUCUCAAGCUACCUCCUGCAACUCAGUUGAGACACCCUCCUGUAUUCUUCAGAUAACCUGGAAAACACCCUGCAGGGCUUGAGCACUUCUGAAGGAGAGCUAACCAUACCCAUAAUGAGCACUUCUCAGAAUCAGUCCUGCUGGGACCCUGCACUCUGCACAAAUCACCUCGAAUUAAAAUUCCUUGUCAGAAAACAGCUCUGGAAAGGUAACACCAAAUCCAUGUGUUAUGAAGAUAAAUGCCUGGCAACA